UUUGAAUUAUUAUUAUCAAUAUUAUUAUUAAUAUUAUUACUAAUAUUAUUAUUAUUACUAUUAUUAUUAUUAUUAUUAUUAUUAUUAUUAUUAUUAUUAUUAUUAUUAUUAUUAUCAUUAUAAUUAUUACCGUAAUGUAAUACAAUUGUUAAGAAGGAUCGAUUGUUGUUCAGUGUUCGCGUCAUACGAUCGGUCGUCUUCCACACGGUCGUUCGUAAAUUCAACUUCCGAGCAAUGCAAAUAUUAUACAGAAAGAUAAACAAAUAUAUGUGUGUAUAGAAAUGCAUACAUACAUAUACAUACAUAUAAAUACAUACGUACAUACAUAUUAAGAUGGUGACUUUGCCUCGACAAAUCAAGAUCGACGAUCACAACGACACGAUAAAAAAUAUUCGUUAAAUCACUUAUUGUUAGAUCAUUUUAGCAGUUACUUUUUCUCUCUCUCUCUCUCUCUCUCCCUUUCUCUCUCUCUCUCCCACUCUCUCUCUCUCUCUCUCUCUCUCUCUCUGUCUCUUUAUGAUUAUAUCGACAUACAUAUUCAUAGAUACAUAUAUACAUACGUAGCAAUAUUUCGAAUUUUAUCUGCUUUCUCCAUUCCACGAAUUUUAAGCGCAAUUACAUAUGUAAUCGCAAACAAUAUAAUAAUCGUCUUAUAAUGAGAUUUUCAUCGUACGUGCCAGAAUGUCUUUCUUUCCCUCGCGUAGAACGAUCGUGUAUAUGUAAUUUUUAUCGACUUUACUAGAACUUUAUCGAGAGUAUUACAAAGAGAUAUAGCGAAAAAAGAAAGGGAAAGAAAAAGAGAAAGAGAGAGAGAAAGAGAAAGAGAGAGAGAGAGAAAAUUCUCGCCUCCCCCUAUCGAAUGUUGUAAAUGUUUCUCAUCUCAAAUCGAAUUUUAUUAUUAUUAUUAUUAAUUAAUUAAUUAAAUAAUAUAAAUGUGAAAGAGGAAAGCCACGAUAUUGCUUUCCCACGAACGACCUCGAUGGAAAAUGCCGUUUAAUAAAUAUGUUAGACGAAAGGGAAAUGAUAGGUGUGAUUGAAAGUGAAAAGUAUCUAUACGAAAGUAAGAGAAAGAAGAGAGAAAGAGAGAGAAAGAGAAAGAGAGAGAAAGAGAGAGAGAGAAAGAGAGAGAAAAUCUCGUCGUACAUAAGUACUUACUUGCAUAAAAUUUAUCGUUAUUAUUAAUGAAGAUAAAAAAAGCAAAAAAAAAAGAAUAACGCAAUAUAACUUUCAAUCGCGUGUAUAUACCUAACUGAAAUAAUAAUAAUGUGACCUUCGUGUGUGAAUAAUAAUAAUAAAAGAAUGCUAUAAAUGGUGUGCCUGGGACUGUGCAUAUGAGAAAGAAAGAGAGAGAGAGAGAAACAGAUCGAUUGUGCGAUAAUGGAAGAAAGAUAGAGAUAGAAAGAAGGAAAGAAUCAUUGAAAGGAUAAAUAAAAAAGAGCAAAAAAUUUAAGUAUUACGUACAUAUGUCGUGUUUUGCCUAGUUCUUUGCGACGCUUAAAUUAAGCUCGUCUACGCAGUGAAAGGCGCGAAAGAGAAAAGAAAAAUGGGAGGGAAAAAAAAAGAGAAAAGAAAAACAUAAAAAAAGAAAAGUCACGACGGAAGUGUCAGUCGAAUCGUCGAGAUUUUCACAUGGAAAAACAAUUAAAAGAAAAAAUGGAACAAAAAUUCAAUCGUUUCGAAACAGAAAUUCUCGGAGUACGACAAUUGCGUUGUUUGAAGGACGUUUGGAGAAAUAAAGAACAGUAAAAAAAAAGGAAAUAAGAAAAGAAAAUAUGACGAAAAGCAAAAAGGAUGGAUAAUGACGGGGCUAGAGAAUAAGUUUAUCGAGUUUAGACUUAAAAAGGAUAAGCUAUUAAAAAGGGAAAAAGAUAUUAAAAAAAAAAAAAAUAAAAUAAAAUAAAAUAAAACGAAAAAAGAGUUUAUUGAAGUAAGUACAUUGUUGCAACUGCCAUGCUGUGUGCCAUUAUAUAACGAGUCACGUUUGUCGUAAAGUAAAAAAUUAUAGAAAAAAUAAAAAAAAAAAGAAAAAAGAAAAAAAAAAGAACUAUACGGAAAGAUUGUCGAAAAUGAUGAUGGUCAUGAUGAAAUAAUAUUUGUGCGCGUUCUCGUCUGUCAGAUUAAGGAAGAAGAAAAAAAGAAAAAACACAAAAAAAGAAAAAACGAACAAAAAAAAUAAAAAAAAUAUCGUUCUUUCCAAAAAUUUACAUCUCGCUUUAAAGUCGGAUAAAUAUUCUCAAAAGAAAAAAGAAAAAAGCAAAAGAAUUAAAUAAAUAAAUAAAUAAAUAAAAAACUAAAAUAAAAUAAAAAAGACAAACAUACAUAAAUAUAUAUACACAUUCACAAACACACAUAUACACACACAUAUUCACACGCACACACAUAUCCUGUUAUCUUCGUUCGAAGAGAAAACAAGCGAGAGAAUGGAUACAAUCGGUUUUUAUAUUAUAAUGAUUUUUUGUUGACAAAAUUUUUAAUUUUCAACUUUUUCUAAUGAAAUAAUUUCUUCCGUGAAUUUCUUCCUCUAUAUUUCUUUCAACUAUAAUUGAUUUCGAAAUAAAGAUAUAAAUUUGCAAAUUGAAAUGGAAAUAGUGGAACGAAAGCAAAAAAGAGAGAGAGAGAGAGAGAUAGAGAGAAAGAGAAAAUAAAUAAAUAAAAAACUAAACACAUAUAAAUAAACAA